rnacentral:rRNA from 1 species
GUGGGGAAUCUUCCGCAAUGGACGAAAGUCUGACGGAGCAACGCCGCGUGAGUGAUGAAGGUCUUCGGAUUGUAAAGCUCUGUUAAUCGGGACGAAAGAGCCUAGUGUGAAUAAUGCUAGGAAGUGACGGUACCGGAAUAGAAAGCCACGGCUAACUACGUGCCAGCAGCCGCGGUAAUACGUAGGUGGCAAGCGUUGUCCGGAAUUAUUGGGCGUAAAGCGCGCGCAGGCGGAUCUGCCAGUCUGUCUUAAAAGUUCGGGGCCUAACCCCGUGAUGGGAUGGAAACUACAGAUCUAGAGUAUCGGAGAGGAAAGUGGAAUUCCUAGUGUAGCGGUGAAAUGCGUAGAUAUUAGGAAGAACACCAGUGGCGAAGGCGACUUUCUGGACGAAAACUGACGCUGAGGCGCGAAAGCCAGGGGAGCGAACGGGAUUAGAUACCCGUGUAGUCC